rnacentral:lncRNA from 1 species
AGAUGGGGUCUCACUAUAUUGCCCAGACUAGUCUAAAACUCCUGACUUCAAGUGAUCCAAGGUUUACUUCCCUGUCCGAUGCAGUUGAAGUUGCUCUCCUUCAUCUUGCUAUGCUGCCAUUUUCAUUGCAUAGUCUCCAUUGUUGCCUUUAUGGAUGACCAUGCAUUGAAUUUUAUGAAAUAGGCAUGAAAAUGGUAAAUUGCUUCCUUCUGCAUAUCACUGGCCAGAACCCAGGUACCUGUAAAAAAAGUGUUUAAAACUUUAAUAUAGCUGAUUUUCUCUGAUACUUCAAAUGCCUGACAAAUCUGGAAAGCAACAACUUUCUGAGCAUUUAGUCUGUUCCUGCAAUUUUAAUAAAUCUUGUUUAUAGUGAUUUGGCUACUAUGUACAUUGUUUUUAUAUAUGUAUGG